rnacentral:ncRNA from 1 species
UAAUUAAAAUAUAGUUUUUGAAAAAAUUUUUUAAAUUUUCUUUAUAUUAUUAAUAUGUUAAUUUGAGUUAAAUAGAAGAAAUAUUUAUAAUUUUAAUAAAAUUAAAGUAGAAAUUUAAAUUUAGAUUUGGCAAAACUUGUGCCAGCCGCCGCGGUUAUACAAGUAGAUCUAUUUUUUAAGGUGAUUUUAAUAAUUUUGUUUUUUAUUUGUUUUAAUUUAUUAAGGUGAAAUUUAUAAAUUAUUUAUUAAAUAAAUUUGAUUUUGAAGAAAUUUAAUUUUUAAACUAGGAUUAGAUACCCUAUUAUUUUAAGCUUAAUAUUGUUAGUAGAUAAUUAAUAUGAAAUCAUAAGAUUUUGGCGGUAUUUUAAGCUUUUUAGAGGAAUUUGCUCUUUAAUGGAUAAAACGCCCAGAUCUUACUUAAUUUUGUGAGGACAAUUUGUAUACCACUAUAUUUAAUUAUAUUGAAUAAUAAUAUUUAAGAUUUUAAAAAUAAAUACAUAUUAAGUCAAGGUGCAAUAUAAAAUUAUGAAUGAAGUGAAUUACAAUGAUUUUAAUUAAUAUUAUAUGAAAAAUUUAAUUAGGAUUUAAAAGUAAAUUAUUAAUAUAAUGGAUAUUUGAAUUUAGCUCUAAGAUAUGCACAUAUCGCCCGUCGCUCUCAAAUUUGAGAUAAGUCGUAACAAAGUAAAAGUACUGGAAAGUGUUUUU